rnacentral:rRNA from 1 species
AUUGAACGCUGGCGGCAUGCUUUACACAUGCAAGUCGAACGGUAACAGGUCUUCGGAUGCUGACGAGUGGCGAACGGGUGAGUAAUGCAUCGGAACGUGCCCAGUCGUGGGGGAUAACGCAGCGAAAGCUGCGCUAAUACCGCAUACGAUCUCUGGAUGAAAGCUGGGGACCGUAAGGCCUCGCGCGAUUGGAGCGGCCGAUGUGAGAUAAGGUAGUUGGUGGGGUAAAGGCCCACCAAGCCAACGAUCUGUAGCUGGUCUGAGAGGACGACCAGCCACACUGGGACUGAGACACGGCCCAGACUCCUACGGGAGGCAGCCUUGCGGCAUUUUGGACAAUGGGCGCAAGCCUGCUCCCCCAAUGCCGCGUGCAGGAAGAAGGCCUUCGGGUUGUAAGCUGCUUUUGUACGGAACGAAACGGCUCUCUCUCCUACAGAGGGCUAAUGACGGUACCGUAAGAAUAAGCACCGGCUAACUACGUGCCAGCCGCCGCCGUAA